AGAGACAGCAGUAGCCGCGGUAAUACGGAGGGUGCAAGCGUUAAUCGGAAUUACUGGGCGUAAAGCGCACGCAGGCGGUCUGACAAGUCAGAUGUGAAAUCCCCGGGCUUAACCUGGGAACUGCAUUUGAAACUGUCAGGCUGGAGUCUUGUAGAGGGGGGUAGAAUUCCAGGUGUAGCGGUGAAAUGCGUAGAGAUCUGGAGGAAUACCGGUGGCGAAGGCGGCCCCCUGGACAAAGACUGACGCUCAGGUGCGAAAGCGUGGGGAGCAAACAGGAUUAGAUACCCCUGUAGUCCCUGUCUCUUAUAA
rnacentral:rRNA from 1 species